AUACGGAGGGUGCAAGCGUUACUCGGAAUCACUGGGCGUAAAGCGCGCGCAGGCGGCUUGAUAAGUUGGAUGUGAAAGCCUACGGCUCAACCGUAGAACUGCAUCCAAAACUGUCAAGCUAGAGUCUGGGAGGGGAAGAUGGAAUUAGUUGUGUAGGGGUAAAAUCCGUAGAGAUAACUAGGAAUACCAAAAGCGAAGGAGAUCUUCUGGAACAGUACUGACGCUGAGGCGCGAAAGCGUGGGGAGCAAACAGGAUUAGAUACCCUAGUAGUCC
rnacentral:rRNA from 1 species